AGUGAACGCUGGCGGUAGGCCUAACACAUGCAAGUCGAACGGCAGCACAGUAAGAGCUUGCUCUUACGGGUGGCGAGUGGCGGACGGGUGAGGAAUACAUCGGAAUCUUCUUUUUCGUGGGGGAUAACGUAGGGAAACUUACGCUAAUACCUCAUACGUCCUACGGGUGAAAGCAGGGGAUCUUCGGACCUUGCGCGAUUGAAUGAGCCGAUGUCGGAUUAGCUAGUUGGCGGGGUAAAGGCCCACCAAGGCGACGAUCCGUAGCUGGUCUGAGAGGAUGAUCAGCCACACUGGAACUGAGACACGGUCCAGACUCCUACGGGAGGCAGCAGUAGGGAAUAUUGGACAAUGGGCGCAAGCCUGAUCCAGCCAUGCCGCGUGGGUGAAGAAGGCCUUCGGAUUGUAAAGCCCUUUUGUUGGGAAAGAAAAGCAGCGGAUUAAUACCCCGCUGUUCUGACGGUACCCAAAGAAUAAGCACCGGCUAACUUCGUG
rnacentral:rRNA from 1 species